rnacentral:lncRNA from 1 species
GCGUUUUCAGUUACGACGAAAUAGCGACGAAAUACAAAGGCCCGCGUUUUCGUUAACGACGUUUUUACGACGAAUUAGGUUACGUGGAAUUAACGAGUUAACCAGUUACGACGAAAUAGCGACGAAAUACAAAGGCCCGCGUUUUCGUUAACGACGUUUUUACGACGAACUAGGUUACGUGGAAUUAACGAGUUAACCAGUUACGAG